ACCCAUGAUCGUCGUCGUAACCCUGGCGACAUUCAGGUAAUUGGUAACAAGUUUACCAUGAUACAUGUUAGGUGUUAAUUUUGGACAGAUGAUUAAUUAUUUGAAUGGUAUUUGUAGAGCACAAUAUCGUGGUUUGGAGUUUGAAAUCUAUCACUAGUGGUUUGUGUGAGUGAGUCUGUACAGCGUAAGUGUUCGCAAUGUUACAAGAUGUAAAUAUGUUUUGUUUUUUUACUGUGAAAUUAUAUGAACUGUGUUAUCUGUUCUUUAGAGGGGAGAUCAUUUGUGUUUUUCCACGUGUUUUGUACACACCCAACACACCGGAACGUAUCGAAUUGGCUGCAGGGAUGGGCAGGAUGGGAAACAACGGUGGAAAGAAAGAGCACAGGACGUAGCAGUAAUGUUGCCGCACUCAAACACCGCAAAACCGUUAGAAGAGGCUAAUACGUACCGAGUAGCACGAGCUGGGAGUCAUUGUUGAGGUAAAUGUUGUAACCCAAGAUGUAUCCUCUCCUGCUAGCCUGCGGCAUGGCUUCCCACGUCAAGAGAACGUCUGAGUCCUGCUGAUUGAUGAACAGGUGGGGGACGGCUCUGGAGGGAGCUUGGGGGAGGGGAAGGUAUGAAGGUGGUUUGAAAUUCC